rnacentral:rRNA from 1 species
UACAGAGGGUGCGAGCGUUGUCCGGAAUCACUGGGCGUAAAGGGCGCGUAGGUGGCCCGACAAGUCCGCUGUGAAAGUCGGGGGCUCAACCCUCGAAUGCCGGUGGAUACUGUCGGGCUCGAAUCCGGAAGAGGUGAGUGGAAUUCCUGGUGUAGCGGUGAAAUGCGCAGAUAUCAGGAGGAACACCGAUGGCGAAGGCAGGUCUCUGGGCCACUACUGACGCUGAGAAGCGAAAGCAUGGGGAGCGAACAGG